CACGUAGGGCGCAAGCGUUGUCCGGAAUCAUUGGGCGUAAAGCGCGCGUAGGCGGCCCGGUAAGUCCGCUGUAAAAGUCCAGGGCUCAACCCUGGAAAGCCGGUGGAUACUGUCGGGCUAGAGUCCGGAAGAGGCGAGUGGAAUUCCUGGUGUAGCGGUGGAAUGCGCAGAUAUCAGGAGGAACACCGAUGGCGAAAGCGGCGCACUGGACCACAACUGACGCUGAGGCGCGAAAGCUAGGGGAGCAAACAGG
rnacentral:rRNA from 1 species